GCCAGCAAAGUAUUGUGCCGCCUUUGCACGGCGGAGGUCAGGGGUUUGAAUCCCCUCGGCUCCA
rnacentral:tRNA from 1 species